rnacentral:rRNA from 1 species
AACGAACGCUGGCGGCGCGUUUUAAGCAUGCAAGUCUAAAUGGUGUAUUUAUACAUUGUUGGCGUACGGGUGAGUAACACGUGAGAACCUGCCUAUAGAUGGGGGAUAGCCGAUAGAAAUAUCGGGUAAUACCGCAUGUGCCUAAGGGUGAAAGGGGCAAUUGUCCCGUCUGUAGAUGGUCUUGCGUCCAAUUAGUUAGUUGGUGGGGUAAUGGCUUACCAAGGCGACGAUUGGUAGCCGGCCUGAGAGGGUGGACGGCCACAUUGGGACUGAGAGACGGCCCAGACUCCUACGGGAGGCAGCAGCUAAGAAUAUUCCGCAAUGGGAGAGAUCCUGACGGAGCGACGCCGCGUGAACGAUGAAGGCAGAAAUGUUGUAAAGUUCUUUUUUAUGGGAAGAAUAAGAUAGGUAGUGGAAAGGUCUAUUGAUGACGGUACCAUAAGAAUAAGCCACGGCUAACUACGUGCCAGCAGCCGCGGUAAUACGUAGGUGGCAAGCGUUGUUCGGAUUUAUUGGGCGUAAAGGGCAUGUAGGUUGUCUAUUAAGUGUGAAUUUAAAUGUCGGGGCUUAACCCCGUCCUGGUUUGCAAACUGAUAGACUAGAGUUCGGUAGGGGAGACUGGAAUUCCGCGUGUAGGGGUGAAAUCUGUAGAUAUGCGGAGGAAUACUUGUGGCGAAGGCGAGUCUCUGGUCCGAUACUGACACUGAAAUGCGAAAGUGUGGGGAGCAAACAGGAUUAGAUACCCUGGUAGUCCACACUGUAAACGUUGCACACUGGGUGUAUGCGAGGUUACUCGUGUGUGCCGUAGCUAACGCGUUAAGUGUGCCGCCUGGGGAGUAUGCUCGCAAGGGUGAAACUCAAAGGAAUUGACGGGGGCCCGCACAAGCGGUGGAGCAUGUGGUUUAAUUCGAUGGUACGCGAAGAACCUUACCAGGGUUUGACAUACGGAUGCUAGAUUUAGAGAUAAGUUUUUCGCUUGCGACAUCUGUACAGGUGCUGCAUGGCUGUCGUCAGCUCGUGUUGUGAGAUGUUGGGUUAAGUCCCGCAACGAGCGCAACCCCUACUGUUAGUUGCGAACAGGUGAUGCUGAGCACUCUAACGGAACUGCCGGUGACAAAUCGGAGGAAGGUGGGGAUGACGUCAAGUCCUCAUGGCCCUUAUGUCCUGGGCUACACACGUGCUACAAUGGGCUGCACAAAAGGUAGCAAACUCGCGAGAGUAAGCCAAUCCCAAAAACAGUCCUCAGUUCAGAUUGGAGUCUGCAACUCGACUCCAUGAAGUCGGAAUCGCUAGUAAUCACAGAUCAGCAUGCUGUGGUGAAUACGUUCCCGGGC